ACGGAACCAGUAACCCUAAACGG
rnacentral:snRNA from 1 species